rnacentral:tRNA from 8 species
GGGCGGUUAGCUCAGCGGGAGAGCAUCGGCCUUACAAGCCGGGGGCCACAGGUUCAAAUCCUGUACCGCCCACCA